GGACUACGGGGGUAUCUAAUCCGGUUUGCUCCCCCAGCUUUCGUCCCUCACUGUCGGAGCCGUUCUGGUGAGACGCCUACGCCACAGGUGGUCCCCCAAGGAUUACAGGAUUUCACUCCUACCCCUGGAGUACCUCUCACCUCUCCCGGUCCCUAGAUUGCCAGUAUCCCUUAAACGCCUGUCGGUUAAGCCGACAGAUUUCCCAAGAGACUUAACAACCAAGCUACGGACGCUUUAAGCCCAGUAAUAGUGGCCACCACUCGAGCCGCCGGUAUUACCGCGGCGGCUGGCACCGGUCUUGCCCGGCCCUUUCUUCACCUGUUUUUUAAGCAGAUGGACAGCCCGCGUUUACGGGCACUCGGAGUUCCCUUAUCACGGUUUCCCGCAUUGUAAAGUUUUCGCGCCUGCUGCCCCCCAUAGG
rnacentral:rRNA from 1 species